rnacentral:rRNA from 1 species
UACGAAGGGGGCUAGCGUUGCUCGGAAUCACUGGGCGUAAAGGGCUCGUAGGCGGCCAACUAAGUCGGACGUGAAAUCCCUCGGCUUAACCGGGGAACUGCGUCCGAUACUGGAUGGCUUGAGUUCGGGAGAGGGAUGCGGAAUUCCUGGUGUAGCGGUGAAAUGCGCAGAUAUCAGGAAGAACACCCGUGGCUAAGGCGGCUCCCUAGUACGGUACUGACGCUGAGACGCGAAAGCGUGGGGAGCGAACAGG